UGCACCCACAUGUGUACACGUGCACCC
rnacentral:piRNA from 1 species